rnacentral:tRNA from 1 species
GGAUUGUGGCUCAGUGGCAGAGCACUUGCCUAACACCUAUGAGGCCCUGGGUUCCAUCCUCAGCACCA